rnacentral:lncRNA from 1 species
AGGAGGAGAUACGGCGGUGCGGAUAGCAAUUGGCAGCGCUGGAAUUGCUAGUACGUCCACUCCUCUCUCUUGAUUUGAAGGCUGGAGACGAGACAUCACUAGUUGUACUCCGGUGAGGGUCCAGCCGGCCGGAUGAGUAACCGGGCUUCUAGCAUCUGAAAUCCGUCAUCAGUGUUUCCUCCCUGCACCUAAAUCGAGAAUCACAGCUUAGGCGGUGUUUGGAUGCGAGGUACUAAAGUACUUUAGGAGGGAUCACAUCGGAUGUUGGGACGCUAAUUAGGAUGAUUAAACAUGAGCUAAUUAUAAAACUAACUGCAGAACCCCUAUACUAAUUCGCGAGACGAAUCUAUUAAGCCUAAUUAAUCCAUCAUUAGCAAAUGGUUACUGUAGCACCACAUUGUUAAAUCAUGGACUAAUUAGACUUAAUAGAUUCGUCUUGCGAAUUAGACUCCAUCUGUGUAAUUAGUUUUGUAAUUAGACUAUAUUUAAUACUCCUAAUUAGUAUCCAAACAUUCGAUGUGACAGGUACUAAAUUUUAUGAGCCUAUCCAAACAGGCCCUUAGAUUUCUUCCCCAGCGCUCGUCAAUUGGGGUCUCCUGCAGCCGCGUCGGGAUUUGCUCCAGCUUGUUCGCUUCAGCUUAUUCAGCCGGCUUAUCAACUAUCGAACAAUGUUUUUCUCUCACAACAAAUCAGCCGUUUCAGCUUUUCAACCGGCUUAUAAGUCCAGCUGAACCCUUAGACACAAUUUCCUAUUUGACAUCAGAAAAGUUACUUGUUCAGCUAUCAAAAUUUUUUCUUUCCCUAUUGUUCCUCUCAAAAAAUUUUCUUUUCCUAUUUGACACUGGGUAUAACUUUGGUUCCUUAUAUGAUACUCUUAGAUUUUUUAUAAAUACUCUAUGAAAAGAUGAUUUGAAGAAUGUGGACCCCACCGCAGCCACCUUUUCCUUCCGCUCCUCCCCUUCCCUCUGAUUGCGUUUGGAUAUGCCUUGGGUUGGGGAUAGGGAAAUGGGCUAGGAUAUAUAAUUGGUUGGGUUUGGGUUAGGGAUAAGUUUUAUCCCAUUGCUAUGUUUGGGUACAUCUGGGGCCAUGUUUAGUUCCCUCCAAACUUCCAACUUUGACACUAUGCAAAAAGAAGAUUCCCCAUCACAACAAACUUGCGGUACAUGCAUGGAGUACUGAAUGUAGACGAAAUCAAAAACUAAUUGCACAGUUUUGUUGUACUUUGCGAGACGAAUCUUUUGAUCCUAAUUAGUCAAUAUUUGGACAAUAAUUCACAAAUACAAACGAAAUGCUACAGUUGCGCAUUUAUGGUAAAAUGUCAAUUUGGCCCCUCCCAAAUUGGGAACUAAACAAGGCCUGGGUUGGGUUUGGGUUAUGUUGAUGGGGCCCACGCGUUUAUAAAAAACCAAAAUACGACGUCACCUCCGAUCCUCUUAAUCCAUACGCAUAGCAAGGGUAGCAGCUCGUCGUUCCAAUCUCAUCCCCAGCGCGGACAUUCAGGCCCAGGGCGUGUGGCAGUGUGCGAGGAGCGGCGGCUCCGGUGGCCCGACGCGCAGGAAGUAAGCGCGGUUCCGGCGGCCCGGCGUGCGCGAUGUGUGAGCAGCUUCAGCGGCGCGCGCGUGCGAGGGGAGCGGCUGCUCCGACGGCCCACACGUGCGAGGGGAGCUGCUGCUUCGGCGACGACGCGCGCCAGGCGAGCACGGAUUCCGGCGGCGUGCGAGGCGAGCUGGGGCUCCGGCGGCUGGCGAGGCGCGGUUCCGGCGGGCGGCUUAGCGGCAAGGCGCGGCGGGGAAGGCGUGGGCGCGUGGCCGGCCCGGAUAGCGGGAUGGCACGGCGGGGGAGGCGCAGUCGGCCUGGAGGCGACGUGGAGGGGUGGGGGAG